rnacentral:rRNA from 1 species
UCAAAUCAUCAUGCCCCUUAUGUUCCUGGGCUACACACGUGCUACAAUGGCCGGUACAGACGGACGCAAAGCCGCGAGGUGGAGCAAAUCCUAAAAAGCCGGUCUACAGUUCGGAAUUGCAGGCUGCAAUUCGCCUGCAUGAAGUCGGAAUCGCUAGUAAUCGCAGGUCAGCAUACUGCGGUGAAUACGUUCCCAGGCCUU